AGCGAAACGCGAAACGCGAAACGCCUAAAAUGCGGAAAAGCUGUGCGAAACGGACCCAAAAGUUGGGACCCUGUUUCGCAUUUUAGGCCUUGGGUCCGUACUAAAAUGCGAAAUCGGUGGGUGCGAAACGUCAACAGAACGUCAACAGACGACGCCAUUAACAUACGUACUUGCGUCACAAAAAUCUACUCGUCAAGAUAAAAACACCUUGCCUUCGAGUUAGUUUAUCCUAGUUUCUGUUUUGUAUAUAAUUCGUUAAAUUAAAAGGAUAUUACAGUUUUGUGUAUUUACCUAUUGUAUUCAUGAUUUUGAUUUGUGAUUCACGUUAUUUGCCAUUCAAUCACCGCAAUACUUCUUAAACUUGAUAAUUAAAGUCAUGGGAGAUGUCCACUUCAUGAAACUCGCUUUGUCGUUUUGCUGAAGUAAGCUGUCUUUCUGCAAAGAAAUAAAUGAGAGUAAAGAAAAAACUUCCCAAUGUGAGGUGACAUGAUGUUUCACCUGAUACAUUGUAACCUACAUUCUCUGAGGUAAUACAUCUACUGUUUCUGAGAAAACCUUGGUGGAAUUCUGAGAGUGGUAAUAGUUCCAUAGCUCAUGCUGCCCAAGUAAUAGUGUGGAGCAGGCGUAUCUGUGCUUUACUUUUGCUACAAGCGCUAGAAGAUUGGCAUCACAAAUCAAAUCUUUGUAUUUUCAAUCUACAAUUCA
rnacentral:lncRNA from 1 species